CCAAAAGAUAAUCUUUCAAAAUCGAAAGAUCUUUUCCUUUGUGCUGGCUUUGACCGUAUGUAAUUUUGGGACUUAAACAUGGUAGCUUUUUUGGUUACCGGUCCCAAAAACAAUUAUAUCAUCCUUAUGAAAACUUUACUGAACAACUAAACAAUGAUUUUAAUAAUCUGUUUAAAA
rnacentral:misc_RNA from 1 species